rnacentral:rRNA from 1 species
GAUGAACGCCUAGCUACAGGCUUAACACAUGCAAGUCGAGGGGCAGCAUGGUCUUAGCUUUGCUAAGGCCGAUGGCGACCGGCGCACGGGUGAGUAACACGUAUCCAACCUGCCGUCUACUCUUGGACAGCCUUCUGAAAGGAAGAUUAAUACAAGAUGGCAUCAUGAGUCCGCAUGUUCACAUGAUUAAAGGUAUUCCGGUAGACGAUGGGGAUGCGUUCCAUUAGAUAGUAGGCGGGGUAACGGCCCACCUAGUCUUCGAUGGAUAGGGGUUCUGAGAGGAAGGUCCCCCACAUUGGAACUGAGACACGGUCCAAACUCCUACGGGAGGCAGCAGUGAGGAAUAUUGGUCAAUGGGCGAGAGCCUGAACCAGCCAAGUAGCGUGAAGGAUGACUGCCCUAUGGGUUGUAAACUUCUUUUAUAAAGGAAUAAAGUCGGGUAUGGAUACCCGUUUGCAUGUACUUUAUGAAUAAGGAUCGGCUAACUCCGUGCCAGCAGCCGCGGUAAUACGGAGGAUCCGAGCGUUAUCCGGAUUUAUUGGGUUUAAAGGGAGCGUAGAUGGAUGUUUAAGUCAGUUGUGAAAGUUUGCGGCUCAACCGUAAAAUUGCAGUUGAUACUGGAUAUCUUGAGUGCAGUUGAGGCAGGCGGAAUUCGUGGUGUAGCGGUGAAAUGCUUAGAUAUCACGAAGAACUCCGAUUGCGAAGGCAGCCUGCUAAGCUGCAACUGACAUUGAGGCUCGAAAGUGUGGGUAUCAAACAGGAUUAGAUACCCUGGUAGUCCACACGGUAAACGAUGAAUACUCGCUGUUUGCGAUAUACUGCAAGCGGCCAAGCGAAAGCGUUAAGUAUUCCACCUGGGGAGUACGCCGGCAACGGUGAAACUCAAAGGAAUUGACGGGGGCCCGCACAAGCGGAGGAACAUGUGGUUUAAUUCGAUGAUACGCGAGGAACCUUACCCGGGCUUAAAUUGCAGAUGAAUUACGGUGAAAGCCGUAAGCCGCAAGGCAUCUGUGAAGGUGCUGCAUGGUUGUCGUCAGCUCGUGCCGUGAGGUGUCGGCUUAAGUGCCAUAACGAGCGCAACCCUUGUUGUCAGUUACUAACAGGUUCCGCUGAGGACUCUGACAAGACUGCCAUCGUAAGAUGUGAGGAAGGUGGGGAUGACGUCAAAUCAGCACGGCCCUUACGUCCGGGGCUACACACGUGUUACAAUGGGGGGUACAGAGGGCCGCUACCACGCGAGUGGAUGCCAAUCCCCAAAACCUCUCUCAGUUCGGACUGGAGUCUGCAACCCGACUCCACGAAGCUGGAUUCGCUAGUAAUCGCGCAUCAGCCACGGCGCGGUGAAUACGUUCCCGGGCCU